AAUGAACGCUGGCGGCAGGCCUAACACAUGCAAGUCGAGCGGAUGAAGGGAGCUUGCUCCUGGAUUCAGCGGCGGACGGGUGAGUAAUGCCUAGGAAUCUGCCUGGUCGUGGGGGCUAACGUCCGGAAACGGGCGCUAAUACCGCAUCCGUCCUGAGGGAGAAAGUGGGGGAUCUUCGGACAUCACGCUAUCAGAUGAGCCUAGGUCGGAUUAGCUAGUUGGUAGGGUAAAGGCCUACCAAGGCGACGAUCCGUAACUGGUCUGAGAGGAUGAUCAGUCACACUGGAACUGAGAAACGGUCCAGACUCCUACGGGAGGCAGCAGUGGGGAAUAUUGGACAAUGGGCGAAAGCCUGAUCCAGCCAUGCCGCGUGUGUGAAGAAGGUCUUCGGAUUGUAAAGCACUUUAAGUUGGGAGGAAGGGCAGUAAGUUAAUACCUUGCUGUUUUGACGUUACCAACAGAAUAAGCACCGGCUAACUUCGUG
rnacentral:rRNA from 1 species